rnacentral:rRNA from 1 species
CCUACGGGAGGCAGCAGUGGGGAAUAUUGCACAAUGGGGGAAACCCUGAUGCAGCGACGCCGCGUGAGUGAAGAAGUAUUUCGGUACGUAAAGCUCUAUCAGCAGGGAAGAAAAUGACGGUACCUGACUAAGAAGCCCCGGCUAACUACGUGCCAGCAGCCGCGGUAAUACGUAGGGGGCAAGCGUUAUCCGGAUUUACUGGGUGUAAAGGGAGCGUAGACGGCAGCGCAAGUCUGGAGUGAAAUGCCAUGGCUUAACCAUGGAACUGCUUUGGAAACUGUGCAGCUAGAGUGCAGGAGAGGUAAGCGGAAUUCCGAGUGUAGCGGUGAAAUGCGUAGAUAUUAGGAGGAACACCAGUGGCGAAGGCGGCUUACUGGACUGUAACUGACGUUGAGGCUCGAAAGCGUGGGGAGCAAACAGGAUUAGAUACCCCUGUAGUC